UGUGUAGGCAAGUGGAGCUUGUUUGCUCUCAUCUGCAUUACCCAGAUUUCAGUGGGAAAAAGCUGCUACCAAUAAAUAUACCAAUGAGCAGGAGCUGAAGAGAAAAAGGAGACAUUCUUUGUCUGUCAUCUCUGAGCUCCCAGCCACUGCAGUCUGAACUUGGCCAUUAUGUGCAGCUCGUUGUGGAGGCCAUCAAUCUGUGGGGCCAGCACGCAGCCUGAUGGGCUUCCCUCAUCAUCAUCAAUUUUCCUUGCCAUGCUGGUGCAUCCCUUUGGAUCUGGGGCAGCUGCACUUGUGCCACUGGUAGCCUCUAUGCUCUCAUCCCAGACACUCGACUCAUCCUCACAGAAGCCUUUUGUCUCGGGAUGCUCACAGGCAUCAGGCACCUCCUAAGGCGAGCUGCAUCCAUGAGCUCCAACUGAAACCUGCUCAGCUUGCUGCUGCCCUAGGCCCAGGCAGGCUCCAGGAUAAUGUGCUUCUGCUCCAGAUUGUAAAAGGAAAUUUCCUUGGGGAUCAACCAAAGAAAAGUGUUAACCAACCAACUGCUAAGGAAGAUGAUGGGGAGUUUUCAAACAAGCAGAGUCUGGACUAUGUCCAGAGAAGUUACUUUUCUCUGAUGAAGACAUCCCCCACCCCAACAUGGAAGACCCACAGAUGCAUUCCAGGAAAUCCCUGCUUCAAUUACAAGCCUGAGCUCACAGACUCCUCAUCCACACCAACGAUGCUGAAGGAGGGGAAAAGAACCCAUAGCUGCAAUUUUUUAUUAAAGGGACCCUUGUAAAUGCUCUGAUGGAGAAAUGCCUCUGCCAGCAGCACACACACUUUCUUGGCAUGUGCUAAAUUGCUCGAGAUGCAGCUGAAUUUCUUUAAACAAAAGGCAUUUGUUUAAAAACGUUUUGACUCAAGUGUUGCAAAUGGAUAUAUUGUGGGUUUUUUUUCUCUCCCUUCCCCCCCCCACCCCCCUUACAGUAAAUGAAUGCUUAUGGAAGUGUCCUUACCUGAAGUGGAGUUUUCAGUUACAUGAAAUGUAAGUGUACAUCUUCCUUUCUUUUCCAUUUUUCUUACAAAAGAAAAAUGUUUGGGUUUGUGUUUUGUCCUUCAAAAGAAAAACAUUGUUUUUUGGGGGGUCUUCUUUACAGUUCAUAAAGAGAGAGUACCAAGGAAAACUCUGCAGCCAUUCACUUGCCUCUAAAACUCAUUGAUGAACACCUUGAAGGCCCUUUUGUAUGAAAGGAUGCUUUCCUCUGUGCCCAGCCCUGGUUAGAAACUGGUAUUCUUGAAAAAGGAUUAAUAAAGAGGGAGACAAUUUCUGAG